ensembl:lncRNA
AUACUCACCAGCUGACUACCUUUUGGUGAAUUGGGAACUCCAUAACCUCCACUUAAAAAACCUAGACACAGGUUGUAUUUUCUUGGAGUUUUCCAGGUAAGGUCAAUUAGACAAUGAGAGAAACUUAGCCUUUGGGGGCCAGUCCCAUUCCCCAUCCCAGGAUCAGAUCUAUGAGAGCUAGAAUUUUUAUUUAUUUUUUAAACCCUUACCUUCCAUCUUAGAAUCAAUACUGUGUAUCAGUUCCAAGGCAGAAGAGUGGUAAGGGCUAAGCAAUGGGGGUUAAGUGACUUGCCCAGGGUCACACAUUUGGGAAGUAUCUGAGGCCAGACUUGAACCCAGGACUCCAGACCUGGCUCUCAAUCCACUGAGCCACCCAGCUGCCCCUGAGAGCUAGAAUUUUUAGGGAAAAUCCCUUAUCUUGUCUUAAAAUUGAUGCCAAGUAUCAGUUCCAAGGAAGAGCAAUAAGGGCCAGGCAACUGGAGUUAAGUGACCUAUCCAGGGUCACAUAGCCAGGAAGUAUCUGAGGCCAGAUUUGAACCCAGGAACCCCCUCAUCUCUGGGUCUGAUUCUAUCUACUGAACCACUGAGCUCUCCCAGGAGUCAUUACUACUUUUUCUCAGGAUCCUGAGAUGGACGGAAUGGUACCUUUAGCAUAAAUAAAAUCUGGAAAUCACAGCUAGCAUCCACAAGUAGGGAAUAUGAGAGGCAGCAUGAGAUGGACUAGGAAAUGGUGUUGGAUUUGUUUUCAUGAAAGAACUGGGUUAGAUUCCUUGUUCCUACACCUGUGUGACCUGAGCAACUUCCCUGACCCUCAGUUUCUUCCUUGAGACAAUGGGGAUAAUCCUUAUAAUUCCUCCCUCCCAGGGCUGUUGUGGAGAAAGCAUUUUGUAAGGCUGAACUCAUCUAUGAUAGUUAAGUUCAAAAUGGUUCCACUAAUGACAGUGACACUGACCCAUUUUCACAAAAAUGAGCAGAUUUUGUAUGUCCUUUCAAGUAAUAUGGGGCAGAAUAUACGAAGACGAAGGCCAAGAAGGAGAAACAUAUCAAAGUUAAAGAACAUGGUGGAGAUACUCUAAUGAGGAUAAAAGCAAGCAGGAUAAGAAGGAUGAUUUCAGAAAAACCUGGAAAGACCUGCAGGAACUGAUGCAAAGUGAAGUGAGUAGAAACAAGAGAACAUUGUGUUCAGUGCCAGCAAUGUUAGAUGAUGAACAUUUAUGAAUGAUUUGUCUAUUCUUAGCAGUACAGUGAUCCAAGACAAUCCUCAAGGACUCAUGAUGAAAAACACCAUCUGGCUCCAGAGAAAGAACCGAUGGAAUCUGAAUGUAGACUGAGACAUACUAUAUUUCUCUUGAUUUCAUCACUUUUGUUUGUUCAAGUUUUCCUUCACAAAAUGACUAAUAUGGAAAGAAGUUUUACACUAUUGCACAUGUAAAAUCUGUGUGUAAGAUUGUUGUCUCAAGGAGGGGGGAGGAAAGAGAGGGAAGGAGAGUGAGAAUUUGGCUCAAACUAAAAAAAAAUCAUAAGUUAGAAUAGUCUUUUCACAUAAUUUAGGAAAAAAAGUAAGAUAUUCUUAAAAAAAAAUAGUAGGGAGCAGCUAGGUGGUUCAGUCAGGCCUAGAGAUAGGAGGUCCUGGGUUCAAACUUGACCUUAGAUACUUCCUAGCUGUGUGACCCUGGGCAAGUCACUUAACCCCCAUUGCCUAGCUCUUAUCCUUCUUCUGCCUUGGAGCCAAUACACAGUUUGGGUUUAAAAAAAAAAAGUGUAUCCUCCCUAUAAAAUGUAAGUACUAUGAGAGAAGGGACUAUUGCAUCCUUCUCUUUUGUAUACUCUAGUGCCUGGCACACCGUGGGUACUUAAUAAGUGCUUGCUUCCUUUCUUCCGAUCACCUACUGCCUCUGUUUUCAUCGUGAAAGCUGAGCCCAGUGACCAUGCCUUUCCUAUACUGUGAAAAUCCUUUCUGUUUGAUAUAGGGCUGUGUGCAUACUCUAUUGGAGGCCUGAUCUCUUCUCUGUUAAAAAUGCAAAUCCCAUCUUGGGAUUUUAGUAGCUCAUGUUGUAAUAGCAGCUCACAUAUAUGUAGUGCUAAUGCUGUUUACAAAGGAUUUUCCUUCUAAUCUCUCUGUGAAGUAGGUAGAAAGGUAUUUUGUGGCCAUUUUACAGACAAGGAGACUGAGGUUCAUAGAGGGUUGAUGAAUCGCUCAAGAUAAUACAGCUAGUAAAUGGUAUAGCUGAGUCUAACCAAGAUCUGACUCUGGUAGAAUCAUAUAGCUUGUAUAGGAUGUAGAAUCUUUUAGGACUACAGGAUGUGGAACCUAAAGGUUGGUUUAAUCUUUUUUUUUUUUAAUAAAGGAAGAAAUUUGGUCCA